rnacentral:rRNA from 1 species
CAGCAGCCGCGGGAAUACGAAGGGGGCUAGCGUUGCUCGGAAUGACUGGGCGUAAAGGGCGCGUAGGCGGUUUGUACAGUCGGAUGUGAAAUUCCUGGGCUUAACCUGGGGGCUGCAUUCGAUACGUGCAGGCUUGAGUGUGGAAGAGGGUUGUGGAAUUCCCAGUGUAGAGGUGAAAUUCGUAGAUAUUGGGAAGAACACCGGUGGCGAAAGCACUCUGCUGGGCCGACACUGACACUGAGAGACGAAAGCUAGGGGAGCAAAUGGGAUUAGAUACCCCCGUAGUCCCUGUCUCUUAUAC